AUUUAAGCAUAUCACUAAGCGGAGGAGAAGAAACUAACCAGGAUGCCCCUAGUAAUGGCGAAUGAAGCGGGCAUAGCUCACGCCGCCAAUCUGGAGGUCUCUACGACGACCCCCCGAAUUGUAGUCUAGAAAGGCGCCAUCGGCCGCGUCCGCCGCUCAAAUCCCCUGGAACGGGGUAUCGGAGAAGGUGAGAAUCCUGUGCCGUGGCGGUUCGCGGUCGCACGAUGCGCUCUUGCAGAGUCGGGUUGCUUGGGAUUGCAGCUUGAAUUGGGUGGUAAAUUCCAUCUAAAGCUAAAUACUGGCGAGAGACCGAUAGCGAACAAGUACCGUGAGGGAAAGAUGCAAAGAACUUUGAAAAGAGAGUUAAAGAGUGCUUGAAAUCGGCAAGAGGAAACCCGUUUGCGCCCGGUGUCGUCUCUUCGGCUCAGCCAUGCCUCCUGGUGUGGUGCACUUCGGAGAGACGGGUCAGCUCGCGCUGCGUGGGCGUCACACACAUCCAGGUAGGGCUCCGGUGAGCCUGGUUGGAUGGCGCGCGCUCGGCGUCGGCUGACGGAACGGGCGAAACCGACCCGUCUUGAAACACGGACCAAGGA
rnacentral:rRNA from 1 species